rnacentral:rRNA from 1 species
UACGGAGGGAGCUAGCGUUGUUCGGAAAUACUGGGCGUAAAGCGCACGUAGGCGGCGCAGCAAGUCAGGGGUGAAAUCCCGGGGCUCAACCCCGGAACUGCCCUUGAAACUGCAGUGCUAGAAUCUUGGAGAGGCGAGUGGAAUUCCGAGUGUAGAGGUGAAAUUCGUAGAUAUUGGGAGGAACACCAGUGGCGAAGGCGGCUCACUGGACCGGUACUGACGCUGAGGCGCGAAAGCGUGGGGAGCAAACAGG